rnacentral:rRNA from 1 species
UACAGAGGUCUCGAGCGUUGUUCGGAUUCAUUGGGCGUAAAGGGUGCGUAGGUGGCUAGGUAAGUCGGAUGUGAAAUCCCGGGGCUCAACCCCGGAACUGCAUUCGAUACUGCCUGGCUAGAGUACUGGAGAGGAGAUUGGAAUUUACGGUGUAGCAGUGAAAUGCGUAGAUAUCGUAAGGAACACCGGUGGCGAAGGCGGGUCUCUGGGCCGAUACUGACGUGAGGAGCGAAAGCGUGGGGAGCGAACAGGAUUAGA